UACAAACAGCCGGGUAAACAUCAGUUGCAAACACCGGAAGUUUUAGUCUGAUUACAC
rfam:Beet chlorosis virus isolate BChV-2a, complete genome.